GUUGCGGCGUUCCUCCUACGACUGGGGGUCAUCUAGUGUGGCCAACGGGCCCAACCAAUUAUCCUGUCUUGUAGUAUAUUACCACUGCCUGUAAUCCUGGGCUAGCGAGGGGGUCACCCUCCAGAAGACCGGUAUGAGCGGUCAGAGAUAGAAAAACAAUUUGCCUAGGCCGUGGAGCCUGGUAAUGGUACGGGCCGUGCCCUUAAUUUCAAAGCCCAGUGGGGAAAUAUUAGGAUAGAUUCUCCCUCCUGUGGAGGAGGAGUGUGUAGGACACCCCAGUCGUAGUAUGGAGGGUGCCGACCAUGCGU